rnacentral:rRNA from 1 species
UACGAGGGGGGCAGGCGUUGUUCGGGAUUAUUGGGCGUAAAGGGCGCGUAGGCGGCGCCACAAGUCACUUGUGAAAACUCUGGGCUCAACUCAGAGCCUGCAAGCGAAACUGUGGUGCUGGAGUAUGGGAGAGGUGCGUGGAAUUCCCGGUGUGGCGGUGAAAUGCGUAGAUAUCGGGAGGAACACCUGUGGCGAAAGCGGCGCACUGGACCAUAACUGACGCUGAGGCGCGAAAGCUAGGGGAGCAUACAGG